UACGUAGGGGGCAAGCGUUGUCCGGAAUCAUUGGGCGUAAAGAGCGUGUAGGCGGCCCGGUAAGUCCGCUGUGAAAGUCCAGGGCUCAACCCCUGGGAUGCCGGGUGGAUACUGUCGGGCUCGAGUCCGGAAGAGGAGUGGUGGAAUUCCUGGUGGUAGCGGGUGAAAUGCGCAGAUAUCAGGAGGAACACCAAUGGCGAAGGCAGCGACUCUGGG
rnacentral:rRNA from 1 species